AGCUGCUUACACUUCAUUUGUUUUGAAAACAAAUGCUAGGUUAUUAACCUAGCAGCUA
rnacentral:tRNA from 1 species